rnacentral:rRNA from 1 species
CCUACGGGUGGCAGCAGUGGGGAAUAUUGGACAAUGGACGCAACCCUGACCCAGCAACGCCGCGUGAAGGAAGAAGGCUUUCGGGUUGUAAACUUCUUUUCUCAGGGACGAAGGAAGUGACGGUACCUGAGGAAUCAGCCACGGCUAACUAAGUACCAGCAGCCGCGGUAAUACGUGGGUGGCAGGCGUUAUCCGUAGUUAUUGGGUGUAAAGGGAGUGUUGGCGGGAGCGCAAGUCAGAUGUGAAAACUCAGGGCUCAACCCUGAGCCUGCAUUUGAAACUGUGUUGCUUGAGUGCUGGAGAGGCAAGCGGAAUUCUGGGUGUAGCGGUGAAAUGCGUAGAUAUAAGGAGGAACACCAGUGGCGAAGGCGGAUUGCUGGACAGUAACUGACGCUGAGGCGCGAAAGCGUGGGGAGCAAACAGGAUUAGAUACCCGAGUAGUC